AGCCCAUCUAUCUUUUAAAAUCAGAAAACAUCGCAGAUUCAUCUUCAUCGCCUAAAUCACCUAACAGUUUCAUCCAUCUUCUAAAUCAGACAGGGCGCUUGAGGGUUCUUGAGAGGAUAUUGAUAAAUCGGUUGAGGGUUCUUGAGCGGACUAGAGACUUCAUCGCUUGUGGCAUGAACGGACUAGAGAAUUGCUCGCACAAAGCUUGAUCGGAGUUUUGAUCGGAUUAGUUUAUCGGCUCAACUUUUAUCUGAUUUUUCGAAGUCUAAAUCAUACACCUAUUGAGCUGAUUCUGGCCGAAUUCGCACAACGUUUGAGCGGACUAGUGACCGACUUUAGCUUCUGUUGUGACCGAUUUAAGCUAAAUCGCACGCAGGGUGUGUAAUUCGCUCAAUCAGUUAUUAAUCAGAUUAGGGAAGACCAAAGUUUUCCUUAGGGCUGGUCAGAUUGGUGUACUGGACUCUCAACGUGCUGGGGUCUUGGAUUCUGCUGCGAAGUACAUCCAGCUUCGACUUCGAACGUUUAUUGCUCGCAAGGAUUUUACAUUCAAGUGAGCUGCUGUAGUUUCUUUCCAAGCUUGCUAGAAUUAUAUAUGCUGCAAAACAAGAAGCUGCUGCUGCCAUUUUGAUUCAGAAGUAUAUUCGUGGAUGGCUGUUGAGGAAUGCCUAUACGCAGCAACGUCUCUCUGCUGUUCAUCGUUCAUUUAUCUCCUUCUGGUUCUGAAUUUGGCUUCAUGAGAGAUUGCAAGAGGUUCUAGAAUUGCUAUUCUGUUCGUUUUUGCUUUCAAUCUCAGAUUUCCAGCUUCAAUUUCAUCUAUUUUGAUCGAAAUCGCAUAAUAGUGCUUGUCGAUCUGUCCAAAUUCUUCUACAUUGCUCAAGUGGUCUUGGAGGUUAAAGCUCAAGAAUCAGAGAAGAAAGUAAGUCUUUCUCAGGUUGGUGCUAUUUCUCCACGUAUUUGUGGUUUAUUGCACAGACCUUGCAUCCGGUUUAAUCAAGAUCAAGCAGGUGCUGUGAUUGGAUUUCAUUUGUAGAGCAGGAUUCCCAGGACUGACUCUUAAAUCUGGAGCAAUAUGUUCAGCUCCAACAGUCUCAUUGAAUAGCAAAAACAGCCUGUUUAUCAGCUUGGUAUCUUCUAACUGUUUUCAUAUAAACAAGCUAUCAUAACUGUUUUGCUAACGAUCAUCUAAGUUUCUUUGAGUUCAUUUGUUUGAAAGCUGCAUGUUAUCAGUAAGUUCUUUCAUUAUACAAGAUUGGAAGAUACUUUUGUUCGGAUUCAAGACAGUCAUCUGGUGGACAUUAGACAGCAGCUGUGUUUUCUCGAUAACCUCUUUGUCCGUUUUCAAUCAUCUCUCAACCUAAACUUGAUUCACGGACAUCUUCACCUGGAUACAAUUUGACUUUCUGUUUGAAUUCAUCUUGAUUGCAAAAUCUGUAAAUUGAAUUUGACUUGGUUGUUUUGGACAGAUUAGUGUUGGAUUAUUGUUUGAUUUUAGUUUCUUGACAGAAGCAGUUUGCUGUA